UUUCGCUGGCGGAGUGCCUAACACAUGCAGGUCGUACGAGAAAGGGGCUGCGGCCCUGAGUAGAGUGGCGCACGGGUGAGUAACGCGUGGGUAAUCUACCCUUGGAUUUGGGAUAACUUCGCGAAAGCGGAGCUAAUACCGGAUAGUCUGGCUUGAAUUAAGAAGUCGGUAAAGGAUGCCUCUGCAUAUGCAUUCGUCCGAGGAUGAGCCCGCGUCUCAUUAGCUAGUUGGUAGGGUAAUGGCCUACCAAGGCAACGAUGAGUAGCUGGUCUGAGAGGAGGAUCAGCCACACUGGAACUGAAACACGGUCCAGACUCCUACGGGAGGCAGCAGUGGGGAAUAUUGCGCAAUGGGCGAAAGCCUGACGCAGCAACGCCGUGUGAGGGAUGAAGGCUUUCGGGCCGUAAACCUCUGUCGGAAGGGAAGAACGGGCAUUGGUCUAAUAGGCCUUUGUUUUGACGGUACCUUUAGAGGAAGCACCGGCUAACUCCGUGCCAGCAGCCGCGGUAAUAC
rnacentral:rRNA from 2 species